rnacentral:rRNA from 1 species
CCUACGGGUGGCAGCAGUAGGGAAUUUUGCGCAAUGGGGGAAACCCUGACGCAGCAACGCCGCGUGAUCGAUGAAGCCCUUCGGGGUGUAAAGAUCUGUCAGUGGGGACGAAACCUGACGGUACCCACAGAGGAAGCACCGGCUAACUCCGUGCCAGCAGCCGCGGUAAUACGGGGGGUGCAAGCGUUGUCCGGAUUCAUUGGGCGUAAAGAGUUCGUAGGUGGCACGUUAAGUCUGGUGUUAAAGGCGGAAGCUCAACUUCCGUAGGGCACUGGAUACUGGCGAGCUUGAAUGCGGUAGAGGUAAAGGGAAUUCCUGGUGUAGCGGUGAAAUGCGUAGAUAUUAGGAGGAACACCAGUGGCGAAGGCGGCCUGCUGGGCUUUUACUGACGCUGAGGCUCGAAAGUGUGGGGAGCAAACAGGAUUAGAUACCCGAGUAGUC